GUUUGGCCUUAUCGAAGCUAUAAUUUUUUUUUAAAUAAAAUAUUGUAGUCAAAUGUAGGCCAAAAUUAAAUCCUCUAUUAUGGUCACUGAUAUAAUUUUAUGUAGUAUUACUUCAGUAUUACCCAAGGAGGAAACAAUC